rnacentral:siRNA from 1 species
UUGCAGGGACCUUGCAAGUUUUU